AUUGGGCGUAAAGCGUCUGUAGGUGUCCUGCACAAGUCUUCGGUUAAAGCCCACCGCUCAGCGGUGGAACAGCCGGAGAAACUAGCAGGAUUGAGGUUGGGAGAGGUAAGCGGAAUUGCCGGUGUAGUAGUAAAAUGCGUUAAUAUCGGCAAGAACACCAAAGGCGAAGGCAGCUUACUGGAACACACCUGACACUGAGAGACGAAAGCGUGGGGAGCGAAUGGGAUUAGAUACCCCAGUAGUCCACGCCGUAAACGAUGGAUGCUAGGCAUUGGCAGUAUCGACCCUGUCAGUGUCGUUCAACCAAGUUAACACCUUAAGCAUCCCGCCUGGGAAGUACGGACGCAAGGCUAAAACUCAAAGGAAUGUACGGGAACCCGCACAAGCGGUUGGAGCAUGUGGUCUAAUUCGACGCUAAGCGAAGAACCUUACCAAGGUUUGACAUGUUAGAAGUAUCCUGAAGGAAACUUUAGGGGACCGUUAAAUCGGAUUCUAAUACAGGUGCUGCAUGGCUGUCGUCAGCUCGUGUCGUGAGAUGUUGGGUUAAGUCCUCCAACGAGCGCAACCCUCAUGUUGUGUUAAAUUAUUCACAACAAACCGCCCCGGUUAACGGGGAGGAAGGUGGGGAUGACGUCAAGUCAGCAUGGCCCUUAUGCCUUGGGCUACACACGUGCUACAAUGGGGUGCAACAAAGGGACGCUAAGCCGCGAGGCGGAGCAAAUCCCAUCAAACCACCCCCCAGUUCGGAUUGUAGGCUGCAACUUGCCUGCAUGAAGCCGGAAUCGCUAG
rnacentral:rRNA from 1 species